rnacentral:rRNA from 1 species
UACGUAGGGUGCAAGCGUUGUCCGGAAUUAUUGGGCGUAAAGAGCUCGUAGGCGGCUUGUCACGUCGACUGUGAAAACCCGGGGCUCAACUCCGGGCCUGCAGUCGAUACGAGCAGACUAGAGUGUUGCAGGGGAGACUGGAAUUCCUGGUGUAGCGGUGAAAUGCGCAGAUAUCAGGAGGAACACCGGUGGCGAAGGCGGGUCUCUGGGCCGAUACUGACGGCUGAGGAGCGAAAGCCAGGGGAGCAAACGGG